rnacentral:lncRNA from 1 species
AAAUCUAUUUUUUACAAUUCAUUAUAAAUAAAUUAGAAAAUCAAAUAAUUUUCUUUUAGUUAAUUUCCUUUUCACUUCUAAGUUAUGAUUCUCAAGCAUUGACAUGUGCACAUUAAUCUUAACCAACUCCUUUUGUUGGUGCCAACAAUGAAUCAAUUUUUAAGAGGAAUUUUAUGGUUAAUCACUAAUCUGAUCUUGGCUAUUAAAUUCAUUGAAAAGU